GCCCUGCCCCCGUCUCCCGGCGCGGACCACCCUUCAGCCGCGCCGCCUCCCACCGCCCCUCUCCAGGCAGCCGCUCUCCCUGCCUGUUCGCUGGUGCCAGCUCCUGCGUGCCGGCUGCCGUACUCUGCUACCGGCCUUUCACAGCACUCACCAUAAGGGUGAUCGAGGGGGUUAGAUGAGCUCGCGCCUCUCGGGCACCGCGAGCAGCACUUGGCCAUCAGUGAGGCUUCGCUUCAGUCUGCUGUGCUGUCGCCGCCGUCAGCAGCAAGGCCACCACCAUCAAGAUCUGGGAGAAAAAAGGGGGACGUUGUGAACAUGCGUAUUGGAAACAGCCCCAGGUGGCCCCGAGGUGGAGGGAACGGAGUCCACGGAGGGACUGGACACGCCCCACGCUUCUCUGCAGAGGACCACAAUAGGACAUGAGCGAGAGAGCCCACAAGUCCAUGCCAAAAAGCACAGAACACACUGAAUAUGUGGAUGAGGAAUACAACAGAGGAGAAAAAACUUUUUAGCAUGCCUAUUAUCUGCAAAAAAAAAAAAAAAAAGGUGUUGAUUUACAAGCAUACCAUUCUGAAACCGUAGGGGACGAAAAUCUGAAAAAUGUCCAGACAAUAAAAUAUGAAAAAUGGA
ensembl:lncRNA